ACUGCCCUUUCUGUAAAGAAGUGUUUCCUAACGUCCAGCCUAAACUUACCUUGGAGCAACUUGAGGCCAUUUCCCCUCAUCCUGUCACCUGUUAGCAUUGAGAAGAGACUUGUCCCACUCUCACUGUAAGCACCUUUCAGAUACUGGAAGAGGGCAAUAAGGUCUCCCCUCAGCCUCCUUUUCCCCAGACUAAACAGCCCCAGCUCCCUCAGCCUCUCCUCAUAGGGCAUAUUCUCCAAGCCCUUCACAAGCCUUGUUGCCCUUCUCUGGACCUUCUCCAGUACCUCCAUGUCCUUUUUUGUGCUUUGUAGACAAAUGGAAUCUACCUUUGCAGGUCCACAGAUGAGUGAUUUGAGUCCCCAGGUUAAGUGAUUCUAGCACUGGGACGUGAUGAGCUUUCACCUGACAGAAGUGCAUUCUGACACUGCUCCUGAGCCAUUUUACCAUGUACUUCCACCAGAGGUAACACAGCCUCACUUCACCCCAUCCUACAGCAGGCAGAAGGAAAGCGGCUCCCACUGAGUCCUACAGCAGACCCGCUUCUGUCAGCAAGAGAGGAUUUAGCCUGGGGGAUUUUAAGAUUUUAAUUUCCUUUCUUCUCUCCCUGACUUUGCCAGUUUCCUUCCUCUGAGUCUUCUAUACGCACAGCUUGUAAACAAAGAGCAGAGGAGAGAAGGAGGAAGGGUCUCGAAAUAGCCUGACUGUCUGCUAAACUCUGAUUGGGUCAUGGCACUUCCCUGGUCUGUUGUGAGGAAAGAUGACAGGCAAAGAAAAGGUGGAUUAUGGGAGUCCAGCCACCAGGAUAUUAGAGAGGGAAGACUAUAAAUUUUUAGCAGAGAAUUUAUCCCUUCUGUAAAGAAAAUAUUCAGUUUAUGUUUACAAGAAAAUACUGGCCAUCCAGACACAUCUUCACUAUCAAAAAUGGAGCUAUUACAGAUGUGGGAAAAGGUUCCCCUAUCUAAAGCUGAGACUGCCAAAGGCUCCUCACUCUGAGAGGCCUGGUAGAAAUAUUGGAAGAUGACCACAGUCUGCCAGCUUCUUAAGGAGUGGUUCUAUUUAUUACAGUAUUUGAAAUGUGAGAUUCUGAGAUAAUGGCUCAGGGAUUGCUCAAGACCAUGGGAUGCACUGUCAUUGAGAAGACCACUUAUCUCCCCUCUUUCUGCUUUCUCUUUGGUAAGACGACAUUUUCUGGAAGGGGGCUCUUUCACACAUUGCCAAAAUUCAAUUUGUGAAUUUGUUCUUCUAAAGCAAAGAUGUUAAAUGAUGUAACCCAAAUUGCCCAUCAGCUGGGUAAUGCCAGUCAGUAUUCUGGAUCCUGGAAUGGAAUAAAGUUCGUGUACCUGCAUUCCUUCUAGUUGUAGCUCACUUAAGCAUUUGAAAUAUCCACUGGGUGAAUACUCUGGGUUUGGAGGUCAGCAGUGCUAAAAUGUAAGUGUUCAGAGACUGGUUUGCAGAGCAAGGUCUUUGACUGGAGGAAGUGAAAUACAAACCAGCACUUUUUCCUGGGGCACGAAAGAGAGAGGAUAACUCAAGAGCUUGAACAAUCUGCCUUCUGUUACAAUGCACACCAUGUUUUAACUAACUCAGUGGCUAGGUCACAGCAGCAUGCUCUAUCAAGUGAGUUCCCAUGCACUGAACAGCUACAAUUUAGAGCAGCACAGAUGAAGCUGCUGUACUGUGCACCUCACAGCAGCAACAACGAUACUGUUAUAACACAGAAAUCAUCAGUGAGAGGAAACUAAUCCUGAACAGGCUAAUAGUCACAGUUAAGUCUUUUGGAGAGUUUUUAGCAUUCUGAGCCUAAGCAUAAGGAAAAGGUGCUUCUUCAGCUUAAUGCUUUGUAUGUAAACAAAUGCUGACAAUAGUAGUGUGUGAAUGUGUCCACUGAAUGUACAGGUUUGAUCUCAAUGGUGCAUUCCCCCAGAAGUUUCCCGGGAUAGCACAUCUGUGAGGCCUGGUCAAGCAGAGUGAAAACAAUGCAGCGUGACCUGCAACAUAGAGUUAAUUGUUGGCCUCAAUAAGCUCCCUCUCCACUCUGUGAAUUAGCUUUGGACUCACAAGAGGUUUGAUAAGAAACUCUGAAGCGGCAUGGAAAGUGAAAGCAUGAUUCAAAAAGCAAGUGAAAAUAUGCACAUAUACAACAUUGGAUGUUAAUUCUGCUGUUGCUCUAUGUGUGGGAACUGCUGAGCCACAGCCUGAAUCACUGAUUGAUCAUCUGGGAAAGGACCCAGUCAGCCCUGUGAGCACAGGUGAAGACGGUUCAUCUGUGUGACUGGAAAGGGUGGAGUCUGGCUGCACCUCUCUUAGACCUCAUAUAAGGGCUGACUGUGACUAGGGGAAGGUUCUCUCUUUGGUGAUCCCUUUUUGGUGAAGCUUUCCCCAGUAAAUCUGGAAUCUUCUGAUACAGAAUGAUGGGCUGCUGUCCUUUGUUGGAGCAGCCUUUUAUUGCUCAAGAGCCCAGACAAACCCUGUGAAAUCUUCUUGUGUUUUUGGGGUUGGUGUCUGCUGCAGAGACCUGCAAUGUGGAUGCUCAACAACUAAGCUGGUAAACACAAAGACAACAACAGCUGGGUGACGUAUGGAAUGCAACUCCCUGCAUCAAGCCAUCCUCAAAGUAUUUAUUUUUUAAGCCCAAUCUCUAGACCAGAAAAGAAACCAAAAAACAGGUAUUUGUUGUUUCUGGGAUAUUGUCCACUGGCUCUCUGUAACAGCUGAACAGAUUCAGAUAUCUCCUACCACCUUCCUGACGCCCACCCACUGACACACCUAGUGUUCUUCCUACUGAAAUUGUGAGAUUAGGUUGAAGAGUCUGGGCUCUCAAACAUGGCUGAAGCCAGCUGACAGGAGAGCAGCUGAUUGAUGGAUGAGCUUUGCAUCAGCCCUUGCUCCUCUGAGCCACUGCACCAUUAAGUGAGAUUAAAGAGUCCAAGGAUUGAAGUUAUGAUACCUCCUUAAUUGUUUAGUUCAAAUAGUUGGACUUGGUGAUCAUUAAGGUCUUUUCCAACCUGAGCAAUUCUAGGAAUCCCACACUUGUAAUAUUGUAUUAAAUGUAUUUUUAAAUAUUUUAAAGCAGCAGCUUUACAACAAUACAUCGUGUAGCCGAAUACAAUGAAGCAUCUUACUGAAAUACCCUACUACUUUCUGUUUUUGGUUCUGCUGCACAAAAUCAGCAUUUUAUACCAUGUUAUGAUAACAGAGAACUUCCAAACAGCCAUUACACCGCAUGAGUACGUGGGAAACUGCUCAACAGUAAUUUACAACAGAGGGAAUAUUGCAAUUCUAGAAGUAAAACUAGUAAGUGUAGUCUAAGUGUUCCUCUUUCAUUUUCUCUUUCACCGUUUCCAUGCUAGCCCAGUGUGUAACCAGAUAGCUUUCUAAGACCUCUGUUAGCAAGCAGAGUUUGGUGUGCAGGCACCAAUCCUAAUAUUAUGGGAGCUUAGAGAUUUUUGAGUGGGGAACAAAUAGCUUUUAAAAGCAAUACCAAUUGCUAAAAGGAUCGUAUUACAAUAACAGAUUUGAAAGCUUAUACUCCAACAGUGUUGUGGAUGAGAGCCGACAACAGAGACGAAGAAUUUUGUGAGCUGCUAGGAGCAGAGCAGGACUUGCUUCUUGCACUAAUGAAUGUGGGUUGUGGGACAGCUGACACCUCAUUGAUAUCAGGCCUCUAAAUCACCCAUGAUUACUGUGGGACUCAGAAAGGAUGCAGAAGCGACUGCACGAGACUGGAUGAGGGAAGCAGGAGUGCCUGCCUAGCAAAUUGAGUGGAUAUUGUGGUCAGUGCACCUUGAGCUCCAGGAAGCUGUGCAAAGCAGAACCCAGGCUAGUCCCCUGAUAACGGCAGGCCUGAGGCUGUGCAGCUGCCAGAGUAGAUGCUGCACCAACAGAGCUCUCAUCACAGCAGGGAAACCAGGCUGCUAGCAGUGUGUGACAGGGGAUGCUCUGGGCAUGAAGGUGGAAUGCAGUGCCCUGCCUGCUGGGUUGGAGUCCCAGGCAGACAAGCGUUACACUGCAGGACAUUUCUCAGAGAAGAAGGAGGGGUGUCGUUAUUGUUGUCAUUUGACUGUGGCAGAUAGAAUGCUGUUCUGGAGACACCGCCCUUGCUGGAAAAUUGAUUAAGGCCUGGAUUUGAAAGGUGGAUUUUCCAGACGCUUCUUGACAGACGGUAUUUGCUAGAAAGGAGAAUUGUCUAAAAGAUAUUGGGGAUAUGAGGUUGCCACAGUUUACACAGAGCGUCCCACCUGUAGGCAAAGAGCCCCACGUUCAAAAUGGAUGCUACCUGCCUGCCAAAUACCACUGCAUAACCUGAAAGGAAAACCAUUGUUGUUUGCCCUUUCCUAUUUGUCUGACUGAUUAUUGCUGGUGUCUCAGGUGCCCAGAAACUCCUGCAGAAAACAAAUCCCGUCUUCGCAGUCUCAAAAGCAGACUUGUUUAGAUUCAGGACGGAGAGAUGUUGGUGAGACCGCAGCCUGGUGUGAUGCAGGUGGGGCCCUUGCAGUGCUAAUCCCAGAAAGGAACUGGAACAGAGCUUUGGGUGAGAUCAAAGAUCUUAUCAAUCAUGGCUAGAAAGAGAUCAGCCAAACCAGCGUGAGUGCAGCCCAGGACUGCCCUACAGUUUGACCCCUCCCUAGCAAGCAGAGCCUGCACUCCAAAUCUUUUUCUUUUAAAUUGUUUACAUUGGACGCGCUGUUUAUUCAAGGAGCCAGAAGAAAGUCUUUGGGCAUAUAUAGCAAGUGCUACAGUGAGAGAAGCUUCCUCAGGCUGCUGCUCUUGCAUAUAUUUGGAUCUUGUAGGGCUUCUCCUCUGUCAGUAGUGCCUCAGGGCUCCCUUGUUCCUUCUCAGGCCGCUGACAAUCAGGCUGUACCACCAAUGCCACAGCCCCUAACCAAACUCACUGCAGCAGCAGUGAGCCUUUCUGUCCUCGGUGAGCCGGUAAUACAGCGGAGAGACUUUCUGUCCUCGUGCUAGAAGUUGUGUUUCUUGUCUGGCAUGGGCUGAGGUGCUGAGGAGUGUUCUGAACUAUGCAGACCAUGCAAGCUCUGUCAUCAGUCACCCAAAAGGGAGAGCUCUAUUACAACCCAUUAAUGCUCCCAGACCACUCAGGCUUAGUUGUGUUGUCACUACAGCACUUAUCUGUUCCCAGAGCGUGCGUGGGGCUGCACCAUCCGCCAGCUUUGCUCACACUGCAGCACAAGGAUACAUGUUGUGCAUGGUGAAGCUAUUCCUCAGGCUGUGUGGCACAGGAAUUUCUCCUGAUAAGGUAAACUCCUGUGAUCUGCUCAGAAAUGGACCCUGCUCUGCAGGAGGAAGGGGAGAAAGAGUUUUCCAUUUCAUUUCUUUCACUGAAAAGAAUGCCGCUGACUGAGCAGGUUGGAGCAAGCAGGAGAUGCAUAGAAGCGUACAAUCACCAAGGAAGGACUUUCCCCAGAACUCUGCACCUGGGGAUACCAGCCAUCAGACACUGCCUCUUCGCAUGCACCUCCAACUCUGAGGCUCACCCAAAGUCAUCCUAGCUUGCAAGUAAAACUGACCUAAAUCCACACUGACCAGUGAAACCCAGUGCUGAGCAGCGCAAGAUUAAUUUCUGCAUCUUGCUGACUUCAGUUAUAAAGCCCCAAGUGACAGUGUUUACUUGGAAGUUCUUCCUGGUUUUAAAGAAGAUCAUCUCGUGAAGGCUGCUUUGUGUCAGAUGUGUGCCCAACAGCUUGUGCUCCUCGUGUGCCUCCUUUCAGCAUGAGUUUCCCUACUACGUGCUCAGGGACUUGCUCUGCUCUAACAGGAAGGACUGAUCCUCUGCCCAGGGCAUCGAGGAUCUACAAGCAAGCUGACCACAGGCUUACCAAAAAGAAAAGGGAAGGUAAAAGCUUCAGAAAUGAUGAGUGAAUCACAGCUCAGAUGGAACCUGAAAGUCACAGAGGUCAAACAGGAAUUUGGUGAUUUUGAUGUAGAGAACGGAGGACAGCUGGCUGCACAGUGAACUGGGUUCCUGUGAUUUUCCCUCCUGCUGGCGGUCUCAGGCAGACCUAGGACAGAGUGGACCUGCAAUCCGAGCUGCCUUCUCCUUACAAGGGCUUGCAUGAGAUCUGGGAUGAAACAAACUGCUGCGGAUGGCUUAAAGGCUUUGUGUGUUCCAUUUGUACCAUGCAAGUUGUCAAGCACCACAGCUGAACGGAAGAAAGAAUGUGGGGAAUCUCUGCUAAGCUUUACUUUUACAUACUUAAUAGCAGGCACAGGAUUUGUUCAGAGUUUUAUUAUCGGGUGAGGAGUUAAGGUAAUUACAGCAGUGAGGCAGAAGGCCAAAAGAUGAUGAAGUCUAAUACCAGGAACCAUUUAGGUUUAGAGUGUACUGCGGGUUAUUUUUUAAAAUAUACUAGCCACCUACUGAUGACCUCCUCCUGGGGAAACUUAAACACAAUUUAAUUAUUGCACCUCGUGUGUUAACAUUUACAAUAAGAGUAAGGGCACUGCAGUUUACACUCUAGGGCUCACAUUUACACAGUGUGUAAAGAAAAGGGAUUUGGCUGAAGUCAGUGAGAAAGAAGAGGUUAAAAUCAGUAGCCAGAAAAGGAAAGAGCUGUAAGGUAUUCUGCAUGUUUGUUUACUAUGCAAAUAGUCAGAACUUAUUUGAAACUGGAAUGGGAAGGUCAUUUAUUUGGACUUCAAGGUAGGUUUCUUGCAAGUUAUACAUGUUCAGAAGACCAUUCUUUGCCUCAGAUUUCAACACAGUGUAAACUACAAGGAAGUGGUUGAGAGGAAUACCUACUAAGGAUGCACACUAGAAAGAGACUAGGUGUUUUGCUGAAUUAAGACACUAAAGAGAUCUGUUAUUAUACAAAUUGUAAGAAAAACAGGAAUGUAUUUUUUAUCGUUGUUUUUUACUGAAAUUCCCACAAAUGGUAGGAAAUGGUAGAGUGUGUGGGAACUGCUGAGUCACAGCCUGAAUCACUGAUUGAGCUCCUGAGGAAAGGACCUGGUCAGCCCUGGGAGCACAGGUGAAGGCAAUUCAGCUGUGUGACCAGAAGGGGUGGAGCCUGGCUGCACCUCUCUUAGACCUCGUUUAAGGGCUGACUGCCACUGGGGAAGGAUCUCUUUCUGGAGAUCCCUUAUCAGUGAAGCUUUCCCCUUUGAACCUGAAAUCUUCUGGCACAGGUGAGCAAUCUUCUUUCCUCUCUUUAUAGCACCUUUCUAUUGUGCUGGUCCUUCCAUCAUCACAUCUUUGUUGUAAUGCCUUUCCCAUUGUUUUGAUCUGUCCAAUUGCUACAUGGGCUUAGGAAAGAACACUACUGGUAUUUUUUUCUGGAGCCUCAGAUGAUCUUGGCUUUUUAUAUCAGCAUGUAAUCAACAGAUAUUUUCCAAAGAGAGAGGAAGCUGCAGAUGCAACUUCAGACUGUGGGCAGCUGCAUACACCUCAGUGAUGACCGAAGCCGUAAUUUACAUCAUUCUAGGAGUUGCACCCUGAUUUUAACACUAGCUUUAUCCUCCUACUUCUUGUUACAGAUACACAGAAAAACUGUUAUUUCUGAAUAUUGAUAUACAGGAAAGUUGUUGUUGUUUUUUUUUAAAUACAGCAUUAUUUGCCUUUGGGAAGGUGUUAAAAAUGAUUUAAAUUAGCUGCAAUAGAGAAGAGCAGUUUUAGCAGCAGGCCCACGUACAGAUGUAAUGCGAACAGAGUCUGGGAAGAAGAGGAAAAAAGAGCAGCUCAAUCACACAUCCCAGUGCAUAAGCACUGCAGCAAAUAGUGCUGAUGGAGUUGUGAGACGUGAUGGGCUUUUGCUUUCCCAUGGCAAAUCCCUGUUUUAACAACAGCAGGCAAAAAGGGUCAAAUAUUUACCUUGGUAUUUAGCAAAAUAAACUCAAUUUCUGAAGCAGAAGACUUAUUAAUUUAAGGAUGUGAUCACAUCUGUCUGAAAGGUCAGGUACUGCUUAGCAGUUUGAAACAGUUGUGCUGGAAGGGCUGACGGCAGUAUGAAUAUCGUGACUGUCUACAGCACGAGUUGCAGGAGAAGUGCUUAAUGUAGAUGUGCAAUUACAGUGGAUCAACCCAGGUACAGCUCUUUGUGAUCAGACAUUUCCAUUGUGUCUUUCUUCUAGAUACCCCGCUGCCCAAUAUUGCAAGAGAUUACGCUCAGUUCUUGUUGGUUUGGGGGGUGGGUAUUUUUUUGUUUACUGUUAUCCAAAUCAUGUCUGAAAUCAGUUGAUUCCCACCUAUUAUUAUUGUUAGUUUGUCAUUUCACCAAUGUCAAUUGGCCAAUCUCUCAACUGGCGUCCCAUGAAGAAACCAGAGCCCUUUCUCAUCACACCGCUACAAAGGCUAGCACAGCUUUUAAGGGGAGAGAGAUGGUUUAGAAUGGUGGCAGCUCAGCAGUUUCACAGCUCCUUUCCAUAUGCUGGAAGGCACUGGGAAUCACUUGGAAUCAGAACUACAGCACUGUACUGAUUUCUGUACUGUUGCGGUAUCUCGGAGCGAUGACGGGAGUCACGUACUUCGCGUGAAGCAUCCAGUUAAGAGCUGGCACCAAAAUUUCCGACAGAAAACGCCAGUCUCUCCUCUCUCAGUAGAACUGUUCCAACGCAGAGGGGCUCUCCUCAAACCCAGCCUUCCACUGUUCUUUCCCCCCUCCCUCAGCUCCCCGUUCCCAGCCGGGCGGUCCCCCGCGAUGCGCUGAGGCGGCCGGUCACACCCCGCUCGUGCCGUGGGGCGGAGCGGGCUCCUCCCCUCCUCUCGUUCUGCCCAGCCCCGUCCGCUUUACGCGGCCCGUCCCCCGUGCGGGGCGGUGGCGGCUGAGGCCCGUCCCCCCAUCGUGGCGUCCCGCCCCCUCCCCUCUCGCGCGGGCGCCGCAUCCCGUUAGCGCUCGGGGCUCGGUCUCGCGAUGCUGGCCCGUCGCCGCCGCCGCCAUAUUGUGACACUAUUUUGAUUUGGAGCGCAGCGAGCGGGGGGAGGGGGGGCCGGGAGCGACGCGGAGCCGCGGCGGUUCCGGCGGAGGACGGGAGCGGCGCCGCAGACACUCAGCCACCCCCGGCCUCCCCGCUUCUCCCGCUCUGCGGCCACGGCACGGACCCCCCCCUCCCUUCUCCCCUCCUCCUUCUCCUCGGCCGCCUUCUCCUCCUCCCUCCCCCCCCCGCGGCGGAACGGCGGCGGCGGGAGGUUGCGGAGCGG